rnacentral:rRNA from 1 species
CCUACGGGAGGCAGCAGAAUUUUGGACAAUGGGCGCAAGCCUGAUCCAGCAAUGCCGCGUGCAGGAAGAAGGCCUUCGGGUUGUAAACUGCUUUUGUCAGGGAAGAAAUCUUCUGGGUUAAUACCUCGGGAGGAUGACGGUACCUGAAGAAUAAGCACCGGCUAACUACGUGCCAGCAGCCGCGGUAAU